GACAGUUGGAAUGUCUGAAAUUGUUUGUUUUUCUUUUUUUUUCUCGUCGACUUUUCCGCUGUUUUGUGUAUAUUUGCGCGACGACUGAAUUGUUUUCCAGCAGAUUUGUUUUUUGAAUUUUUCAUGGAAAAAAGUUGAUGGGAACAAUGUCAAACUCAUCCAAAAUUAGUGAUAAAUUCAAAGACAUAUGUCGUGUGUGUGCAAAAAAGUCAACAAAAACGAUAAGUUUGUUUGGUAUCAGAAAGAAAGGAUUAAUAUUAGCCGAAAUGCUAGCCAUUUGCACACACAUUAGGGUGGACAAGCAAACGGAUUGUCGACCAUCGAAUAUUUGUAGUCCAUGUUUAUCAAAUCUAGAAAUAGCGUUCGAUUUCUACAAUCUGGUGAAAUCCAGUGAAAAUAAUUUCCAAAAAAUGCUCGCUACCCAUAGUGUAAAUGACGAGGAAAAAAGUCAGGCAAUCGAAUUUUGUACACUGGAUGAUAACGAUUCGAUGGUUCAGAAACACUUGAAAGUUGAAUUUAGCGAAGGCAAUGCUGAGUUAAUAUCAAAUCAACAGCAACGAAUCGAACAGAAACGAAAACGAAGAUCAGCUCCGAAUGAAACGGUUGAACCGCAUCAAUUAGACGUAGAUAGCCAGCAGAUGCAGCAAGAAAUGCAUAAUAGAAAAAUGAACCGGUUAUUCGAGUGUUUCCUAUGCAAAGCUAAAUUGAAAUCAUACACAGAUACCCGAGUCCACUUGAAACGGCACUAUGAAGCAACGCCAUUCAAAUGCAAAAUCUGCGCAAUGAACUUUUCGGCGGUGCAAUACGAACGGCAUUUGUGUCGCGGACAAAGCGUUCAGUGUGUUUACUGUCUCGAAUCAUUUGAAACAACGAUUAAUCUGAUGGACCAUUUGGAAUGUCACAGGGAACAACAUAAUUUGCAUAAAUGUACCGAGUGUUCGAAACUGUUUCCAAUGCUCUGGCUACUUGAAUGCCAUCAAGUACAGCACAGACAAGUGGAAAAGCCAUACGUUUGCCAUAUUUGCUUUCGCGGAUUUCGGAUUAAUUUUGCACUGACCAAACACCUUUCUACACACUCCAAUGAGAGGCCGCACCUUUGUUCCACAUGCGGCAUGGGAUUCAAAACAAUGGGCACUCUCCGUUCUCAUGCCAUUCGACACUCUGGCUACAAACCGAUCGCCUGUUCGAAAUGUCCGAAGAGGUUCUUCAGCAAUGCCGAUCUCAGGAAGCACAUGGACGUUCACAGCGAUGCAAAAUACGUGUGCAAUUUGUGCGGAUCAUCACUCAGUUCGAAGCGGUCAUUGGAUGAGCAUAGAAAUAAAAUAUUUUACAUUAUUCACUACAGGGCAUCGUCACAGGAAAGCUGAGGAGCAAACAUGUGAUCUGUGCUCGAUGAAAUUCAGAACUAUUUACAAUCUAAAAAGACACCUAUUGACUCACACGGGCGAAAAACCUCAUAAAUGCAUGUACUGUGAGCGAGCGUUUGCACAAUCGGGCGACCUCAACAAGCACCUGAGACAGCACGUGGGGGAUAAAACAUAUCAAUGCAAUCUGUGUUUCAAAUCGUUCAGAUUACAAAUCGAACUGCGAAAACACUCGUAUGAACAUUUUCAAAAUGAAAACAAAAGCGAAACGCAUAUUCAAUAGACUUAAUAGCUUAGUGUCGUUCUAAUUUUAUUUGAAAAAACAAUUAAAAAAAAUAGUAACGUGUAAUAUGGAAUAAAUAUUAACUCAAUUUCCCCAUGGACGAUUGUCUUCUAAAUUGGUCCAAUCGGGAACUCGAUUCAA